UACGAAGGGGGCGAGCGUUGUUCGGAAUUACUGGGCGUAAAGGGAGCGCAGGCGGUUCAUUCAGUUAGGCGUGAAAGCCCCGGGCUUAACCUGGGAACUGCGCUUAAUACUGAUGAACUAGAAAACAGGAGAGGGUAGUGGAAUUUCCAGUGUAGAGGUGAAAUUCGUAGAUAUUGGAAAGAACACCGGUGGCGAAGGCGGCUACCUGGCCUGAUUUUGACGCUGAGGCUCGAAAGCGUGGGGAGCAAACAGG
rnacentral:rRNA from 1 species